AAGACUAUACUUUCAGGGAUCAUUUCUAUAGUUCGUUACUGGAGAAGUUUCUCUGCCCGUGUAGAGCACCAUUAAAAUGAAGCCACAGACUAUUUCUGUGUUAAUGAAUAUGUUCUGA
ensembl:snoRNA U3 Small nucleolar RNA U3